UCCUCUGCUAUAUCUGCGGCUGGAAACAUGGGGUCCCUCUAUGUGUACUCUUUGGUUGGUGAUAAUAUGAUAUCUUCAUACUCUGUAGUCUCUCCUGCCCUCCUUCCGACCAUGCAGACAUAUCUCUGGAUAAUGCAAGCUUUCUCUCAACUCCUGAGCAUUUGAAAUACUGCUCCAUCUGCUUGGGACUCUUUCACUGGACACCUUCACCUGACCACGUCCUCUUCAACCACAAGGCUUAACUUAGAGACAACUUCCUCCAGUGGGACAGCCACACAGGCAUAUUAUUGUGCAUCUCCCAAGAGACAAUGAUGUCGAGAGUGACAUCAGCCCACCAUGAAGAGCGAGAAGACUGGGUCUUCUUCACGUCUGUGUAACAGAACAUACUUGCCAGGCAGUGGUGGUGCACGCCUUUAAUCCCAGCACUUGGGAGGCAGAGGCAGAGUGAAAUUGCCUUUGGAAAAGUACAGACAUUUUCCCCCCUCGUGUGAAGGGGGAGGAAGAUCUUGGAAGAAUUCUGCCUGAGACUUGAGCCUGGGAGGGGUAUUUCUCUGUGGAAGCCGCUCACCUAGCAGGUGCAAGACCCUGAGUUUAAUCCCCAGCACCGCCAGAGGGAAUGCGGAAGUCUCCUAAACCAGAUCCAAGGCUCCCUCUUAGCCCUAACAUUUUUUAAAAUCAGGUUAUAAAACAGUCACUAUUAUGGAAAGUAGCAUUGCUUGUGACUUAGACAUUCUUCAUUCUGUUUUUCUACAUUUUCCAAAUCUCUCCACGAACAUGUGUUGCUUUUUAAUGAGAAAGGAAACAUUGCUGUUUUAAAAGCCAAUCUGUACAUUACAAUCCCAUAAAGCUAUAAAACAUACAAGUAUAUCUAGACACACACGUACACAUAAAUCUUGUAAGUAUGUUAUAUAUGUCUAUAGUUAUAAGUCCACAAGAAAAGCACGAGGAGGCUCAGCAUCAAAAUAUUAGCAAGGAUAAUCUCUGCGUGUGGUAAGUCUCUAAAUGAUUACAAUUGCCUUCUAUUUGCUAAAGUAUCUAUAUCUAUAUCUAUAUCUAUAAUAAACAUGGUUUAUGUGAUGGUUACCCUGUCAACUUGAGAAUCACCUGGGAGGGGCUAUCUGAUUAGGUUCAUUGAUGAAGACCCACCUUUACUGUGGGUGGGACCGUUCCCUGGGCAGGAAUCCUGGACCCUAUAAAAUGGAGAGAACUCACUAAGCAGACACACUCAUCACACUCUGCCUCCCGACUAUGGAUGUAAUGUGACCAUCUACGCCCAACUCCUGUUGCUGCCAUGACUUCCUGCCAUGGUGGGCUGCAACCUCUCACAGUGAGUCAAAACAAGACAAAACAAAACAAAACAAAAAAGCCUUUUGUCCUUUGAGUUGACUCUACCACUGCAACAGGAAAGUAAGAUAGCUAAUAAUCAGAAUAAUAUUUUUAAUAAUUUGAGGCCUUUUCCAUGUCAGCAUCAGAAUUCUCUUAUCUGUCAGUAUUGUUUAAAGCCAUUUUUCUUUUUAUUCUCCACCCCCCUCCACCAAAAGCUAAUCUUGUUUUUCUGUCAUGUUGUACCACAGCAUUUUACAUCUCCCGUGGAGGACUGAAACCUGAGGGGCUUCCUGAAAAGCUGCCAGAUGAAGCCUCGGGUUCAGGGUCUGGCUGCAAUCAUGUUCUAAAUAAAGACUAGAAACACACGCUGCCCUUCAUUACAUAACAGCUGAGCUCUUGCUAAUGCAUGGCACUCUUCUCUCUAAAUUACCGACUCCCUGUGCAUCAGAAUCAAUUCCCCCUUCUU